UUGGAUUUCCUUUGGCAGGGUUCCCUUGUAUGGAAGUUCUCAGGAGAACAACACUCUCAGAGUCCCACUGUCUCAAAGAAUUCUUAAUGGACAGCUAUACUUGGCCCCAAGGUUUCAACCUCACACUGAAGAAAGUGACAUAAGAAAACACAAGUCCCAGUGCUAUCAGGGGCUAUCUGGAAAAGCUGCUUAAACAGCAAGUGAAAGAAGGCUCUCCCCUACCCCGUUCUAGGUGAGGAACAGGUGGCUGGUGAGUUUUUAACUUGAUAGGAGAAUCUAAUAACCUCACCACCCAACAAUACUGAUAGCUUUCCUAUAUGUGCUGAAACUGUUGACAAUACCUAAAGGGAACAGCCUUAGAGAGUGCAGAGCAGGGAAAGUUUAUAUGUGUUUGCUAGUUAUAAAACAGAUGGCACUGUUUUCAUAGUCCAGUGAUACUGGGAGAUCAUAAAAUAAAAUGUCAAUGGCAAGACAGUGACAAUGGGGGCAGUGAGCCUGGCAAAUGGAGAUGAGCCUAAAGCUAAUUUGCUAGAAAAAAAUGACUUGAUUAGGUCAGGGAGGUGGAAGAACAACCAGUUUUGAGCAGAGAUUGUGCCACUGCACUCCAAAGUGGGCAACAGAGCGAGACUCUGUCUCCAAAAAAAAAGAAAAAAAUUAAAAAAAGAUACACAGGAUAUAUUAAGUGAAAAAUGGAUUAUU
rnacentral:lncRNA from 10 species